UUAAGAUUGAUGACGAUGAGAAAGAGCCGAUGGAAUGAUGAUAACGAUUUUUCGGAUAUAUUAAUUUAUUCUGUCGACCAAAACUCAGACUACAAUUAUCUGACUAAUU
rnacentral:snoRNA from 1 species